rnacentral:rRNA from 1 species
GAUGAACGCUGGCGGCGUGCCUAAUACAUGCAAGUCGAGCGAACAGACGAGGAGCUUGCUCCUCUGACGUUAGCGGCGGACGGGUGAGUAACACGUGGAUAACCUACCUAUAAGACUGGGAUAACUUCGGGACACCGGAGCUAAUACCGGAUAAUAUAUUGAACCGCAUGGUUCAAUAGUGAAAGACGGUUUUGCUGUCACUUAUAGAUGGAUCCGCGCCGCAUUAGCUAGUUGGUAAGGUAACGGCUUACCAAGGCAACGAUGCGUAGCCGACCUGAGAGGGUGAUCGGCCACACUGGAACGGAGACACGGUCCAGACUCCUACGGGAGGCAGCAGUAGGGAAUCUUCCGCAAUGGGCGAAAGCCUGACGGAGCAACGCCGCGUGAGUGAUGAAGGUCUUCGGAUUGUAAAACUCUGUUAUUAGGGAAGAACAAAUGUGUAAGUAACUAUGCACGUCUUGACGGUACCUAAUCAGAAAGCCACGGCUAACUACGUG